UACAGCCAUAUGGCGUUGAAACACCGGUUCUUGUCCGGUCACCGAAGUUAAGCAACGUCGAGCCUAGUCAGUACCAAGAUGGGUGACUGCAGGUGAAUACCAGGU